rnacentral:rRNA from 1 species
UACACUCCUGCGGGAGGCAGCAGUGGGGAAUUUUGGACAAUGGGCGAAAGCCUGAUCCAGCAAUGCCGCGUGUGUGAAGAAGGCCUUCGGGUUGUAAAGCACUUUUGUCCGGAAAGAAAUCCUUGGCUCUAAUACAGUCGGGGGAUGACGGUACCGGAAGAAUAAGCACCGGCUAACUACGUGCCAGCAGCCGCGGUAAUACGUAGGGUGCGAGCGUUAAUCGGAAUUACUGGGCGUAAAGCGUGCGCAGGCGGUUUGCUAAGACCGAUGUGAAAUCCCCGGGCUCAACCUGAGAACUGCAUUGGUGACUGGCAGGCUAGAGUAUGGCAGAGGGGGGUAGAAUUCCACGUGUAGCAGUGAAAUGCGUAGAGAUGUGGAGGAAUACCGAUGGCGAAGGCAGCCCCCUGGGCCAAUACUGACGCUCAUGCACGAAAGCGUGGGGAGCAAACAGGAUUAGAAACCCCAGUAGUCCCAUGA